rnacentral:rRNA from 1 species
UACAGAGGAGCCAAGCGUUGUCCGGAUUGACUGGGCGUAAGCGCACGCAGGCGGACGCGCGCGUGGGGUGUGAAUCUGGCCGCUUAACGGCCAGGCGCCAUUCCAUACGGCGGGUCUGGAGCCUUGCAGAGGUCGGUGGAAUUCCCGGUGUAGUGGUGAAAUGCGUAGAGAUCGGAAGGAACACCUGUGGCGAAAGCGGCUCACUGGACCAUAACUGACGCUGAGGCGCGAAGCUAGGGGAG